AGACAACUUCCCCAGGCAACAAAUCUGUGCCCUGCAGUGUUCAAGGCUCUGGGUGUAGCAGUGAGUGAAGUAGCCCCUGCCCUGAAGGAGCAGGCAUCCAAGUGGUGAAGAGGAAGGCAGAUGAUGGUUCCAUAAACCAGGCAGGAGAGCCAUGGAGAGAAGAGAACAAAGAGGGCAGCGCUACAGACACGGACUUGGAAAGACUGACGUUGACAGAUCUGACAGAGGCCAUGGGCUCCACGGUUUGCCAGCGUGUGCCUGAAGCAACAGAGUCUAGGAUGGUCACCCGUCGAAGCUAGGAGCCUAAGACGCUGGCACUUUCAAAACUGUGGCAUCUGAGAGCUGCAUCACCUGAAGUUCCUGGAGAUCCAAGUGCAGAUGGCCGCUUCCACUAGCGGUUACCCACAGGGGCCAGGUCUCUUGUGUUUAAUGCCCUCCCACGAGUCUUCUUAUGGUUUAAUGUGGAGAAUGAAUCUUAGGAAUGCUGUGGGUACGGAGUCGUGCCUGCUUUCUUCCAGGACCAACUUCUAUUCGUGUCUGAUUGGCACCAUCAGGCGCUUUUCCAGUCAGCCCCUUGCCCUCGCAAAACUAACUUGAGACUAUCACAUCAGGUUUUCUGCUGAGGACUUCUCUCACUUCUAUGAAUAAAUCUACGGUGUUCUGGGACCGCAGAGGAGUGUGCUUGUGGGUGUGUAGCCUCAAGGGCCACUCCAAGGCAGCCCAGAGAGACAUGGGAUACUACAGGGAUGUUGAGACGGGAACAGCGCCCCUCAUUCAGCAUCUCGUUGGUGUUUCCUGCUGAGUGUCAAAGAUUUUAAACAACCACUGAGAAUUCUGCAUUCAGAGGCAAUGUUCUUUUCUAAGAGAUGUCUUCAGCAGGAUGCAAAACACAGUAUAGUAGGCUUGGCUUGCUCAGAGCCCGAAUGUUUGAGAUCUCUGAGUUCGGUCCCCUCAAACCUCUCUCCUGCCUACACCCCAACAAUGUACCCUGCAAAGCCUCCUUACAAUUUUAUUUGCAUAAGGAACCUAAGGAAAAUAGGUAAAUGGGUCCAUAGGCUUUUCCACUUUGUAAAUUUUGCUUAAUCUUAUUACAUCCUUUCAACAAUGUUUAACUUUAAAAGCCACAAAAUCUCAUGUUUAUCCAAUUAAAAAAGGAAAAAAAAUC